AACGUAGGAGGCGAGCGUUAUCCGGAUUUACUGGGCGUAAAGCGCGUGUAGGCGGACGAGCAAGUUGGAUGUGAAAGCUCCUGGCUUAACUGGGAGAGGUCGUUCAAAACUGCCCGUCUUGAGUACAGUAGAGGGAAGUGGAAUUCCGGGUGUAGUGGUGAAAUGCGUAGAUAUCCGGAGGAACACCAGUGGCGAAAGCGGCUUCCUGGACUGGUACUGACGCUCAGACGCGAAAGCUAGGGUAGCAAACGGG
rnacentral:rRNA from 1 species